rnacentral:rRNA from 1 species
GUUGACGCUGGCGGCAGGCCUAACACAUGCAAGUCGAGCGAGCGGCGGACGGGUGAGUAAUGCCUAGGAAUCUGCCUGGUCGUGGGGCAUAACGUCCGGCAACGGGCGCUAAUACCGCAUACGAUCGGAUGUGCCCCGAUGGGAUUAGCUUGUAGGUGCGGUAACGCCUCCCCUAGGCGACGAUCCCUAGCUGGUCUGAGAGGAUGACCAGCCACACUGGAACUGAGAAACGGGCCAGAUUCCUACGGUAGGCAGCAGUGGGGAAUAUUGGACAAUGGGCGCAAGCCUGAUGCAGCCAUGCGCCGUGUAUGAAGAAGGCUUGCGGGUUGUAAAGUACGUUCAUCGGGGAGGCGUUACCCGCAGAAGAAGCACCGGCUAACUCCGUGCCAGCAGCCGCGGUAAUUC